rnacentral:rRNA from 1 species
UACAGAGGGGGCAAGCGUUGUUCGGAAUUACUGGGCGUAAAGGGCGCGUAGGCGGCCUGUUAAGUCGAACGUGAAAUCCCUGGGCUCAACCCAGGAACUGCGUCCGAUACUGGCAGGCUUGAAUUCGGGAGAGGGAUGCGGAAUUCCAGGUGUAGCGGUGAAAUGCGUAGAUAUCUGGAGGAACACCGGUGGCGAAGGCGGGUCUCUGGGCCGAUACUGACGCUGAGGAGCGAAAGCGUGGGGAGCGAACAGG